UACAAAAACAGGAAAAAGGUAUACAAAAUAAAAAUCCCGUUUUCUCUAUUACUGUUUUUUCCCUCAUAUUUCUUGUUGCGGGCUUUUCAUCGUCUGUGUGAUAAAUGUGAA
rnacentral:ribozyme from 13 species